UGCCGAGUCGUCUAAUGGUAGGACAUCGCCCUUUGGAGGCGAGUAUUGGGGUUCGAAUCCCUGCUCGGCAACAA
rnacentral:tRNA from 4 species